UUCGAAUGUAUUUCAUUUGUUUCUAUUAACGGUAUUAGAGCGUACAAGAUAUGAUACAUAGUAACAGUAUGAUUAUAUUCCCAAAAGGUUUCCGUUUCCAUGUCAAAUCCUCCAAUCAGAGUAGCCUAUUUAGCAUUAUCGUCUCAAUGUGUUGCUAUUUAUCCAUAUUGACUAUAAAGAUUGUUCAGACGGCAGUUGAGAAACGUUAUUAUGUCCUGAAAAAGAAGAGAAUGCUGGGAGGAUUGUCGAAACACCUGCGGCGGUGUAUUACGUCUUCUUGCAAACCUGGCCGUCAAGGUCCGUUCAGUGUGCACCCGCACGUGUCCCAGGCGGUGGCCGAGGGCAGACCGGUGGUGGCUCUGGAGAGUACCAUCAUUACACACGGGAUGCCUUAUCCUCACAAUCUGAGCACAGCUAAGGAGGUGGAGGCCAUAGUGCGGGCCCAGGGGGCCGUCCCUGCUACUGUGGGCGUGCUGAACGGAAAGGUGCAUGUGGGCCUGUCUGAAGAGGAGCUGGGCUUCCUGUCCCAAAGCAAGACUGCCCUCAAGGUGUCCCGCAGAGACUUGCCUUACGUCAUCAGCCAGGGUCUCUCUGGAGGGACGACCGUGUCUGGCACUAUGAUAGCGGCCCACAACGCUGGGAUUCCCGUCUUUGUGACUGGGGGGGUUGGAGGAGUACAUAGAGAUGGAGAAAACACUUUAGAUAUAAGUGCCGAUCUCACAGAACUCGGCCGUACGCCCAUCGCUGUAGUCUCUGCGGGGGUAAAGUCGAUCUUGGACAUCGGGCGCACCUUGGAAUUUUUGGAAACACAGGGAGUAUGUGUAGCCACAUAUGGGCAUUCAAAGAAUUUCCCAGCAUUCUUUUCUCCUCAGAGUGGGUACACAUCUCCAUACCAUGUUUCCAACCCUGAAGAGGCUGCUGAACUGAUAGGGGCCACUCUCGCCCUGGGGCUGGGGAGCGGGCUUCUGCUGGCCGUGCCCAUCCCAGAGGAGCACGCCGCUGCUGGGAAGGAGAUUGAAGAUGCCGUCCAGCGAGCUGUUGCAGAGGCCAACUCAAAAGGCAUUACUGGACGGGAAGUGACGCCGUUUAUCUUACAGAGGGUGAAUGAACUGACUCAAGGGAAAUCGCUUCAAGCUAACAUAGCUCUGAUUCAUAAUAAUGCCAAGGUGGGCAGCCAGAUCGCAUGCGCUCUGUCACAAUGCAGUCGGAGGAAAGAUGGCGUCCUGAGCAGGAAGGGCAAGAGGGAGACGAGCCUGGGCACCAAUGCUAUUGUUAUUGGUGGAGUGAAUGUGGACUUCCUUGCAAAAGGAAAAACAAAACAGUUACUGUUUGGUCAGACAAACCCAGGAAGUGUCUGUCAGUCAUUUGGAGGAGUUGGCAGAAAUAUUGCCGACUGUUUGAGUCGACUAGGCCAAGAAGCCCUCUUCAUCUCUGCUGUUGGAGCAGACUCACACGGUGAUGCUGUCCUCAACUACUGCAAGCAUAUGAACACCAGUGGAGUGGCACGAGUGAAGGACCAGAGGACGGCCACCUAUUGUGCGGUCCUCACGGAGAGCGGAGAGCUGAGCCUGGGCCUGGGCGAUAUGGACAUCCAUCAGCACAUCAAAGAGCAGUAUGUGUCCCGUUACGAAGAGCAACUCUCAGCUGCCUCUCUCGUGUGUGUCGAUGGGAACCUUCCUGUGUCCACCAUCAACUACGUUUGUUCCGUGGGCAACAAACAUUCUGUCCCAGUGUGGUUCGAGCCCACAGAUGCUGAUAAGGCCUGUAAGCCCUUCCUGUCUGACAGCUGGAAGGCUCUGACCUACACCUCCCCCAACCUCGCUGAGCUCUGCACCAUGAACCGCACGCUAGGCCUGCCGACUCCUACAGUGCUGCCGGAGUCCUUGGAGGAGUUGCUGAGCUGCGCUGCGUCUCUCUCUCGCCCCCUGCUGGAGCACCUGCAGUGUGUGGUGGUGACGCUGGGCCCAAUGGGAGUGCUGUUGUGUGGGGAGCAUGAAGCAGGCUCCGUCAACCUGCAGCCCAGGAGACACAGAAGGAAGGGACGUAUGUGUGCCCUUCACUACCCUGCUCUGGCCGUCUCCGCAGACGACACUGUGAAUGUGUCUGGAGCCGGUGACAGCCUUGCGGGGGGGAUGAUGGUGGGCAUUCUGCGGGGCUGGGACACUCACGCCUGCGUGCACAUGGGACUCCUGGCGGCACGGCUCUCCCUGGCCUCACCCCACCCCAUCGCCCCCAUGCUGACGCUCGACGUCGUCCACCCACUCAAGGCCCACCCCCAGCCGUGGCCCCAGCCCACCUGCCUGUGGAUGGAGGCGUGAGAGGGACACCGCACCGCUCCACACCGUCCCGUCUCCACCCGAGCAGCCUGACGUUCCCCUCUUUUCAGCAAGACUACAGUUCAUCCUUUGACCAGGUGUUCAACACCAUCCCAUCCCUCUGUGUCCUCCUCUUCAGCCUGAUGUUUGGAGGCAGCCCAGUCUGUCAGCUCUGCUCUGAUUAAACACGACACAAUAGUUUCAUCAGAACUUCACACUCAAAGAACUAAUGACUCUUUUACUCUUUUUUUUUUUUUCUCAUGCUAAAAGCUUUGAAACAACCCCAAGUUUCAGUAACACAGAACAGAUGAAACAAAUGGAAUUGAGCCAUGAGUAAUGCAUUGAGUCAGUCGAGUGAAGUACACACAAAUGUGUGACUUGUCAGUACCAGACAGAUGAAGGGCAGAUUGUUGUUACAGCUCAGCUCAUCCCAUAGGCCUCCAUUGCUCAUAUCUAUUGCUGUGCAGCCCUCUCCACUGCCGUAGUUGUCAGGUUUCCCAGACAUCCAGUACCGGAAGGAAGACAUUUGGCAUUUGUCUGACUGCUCCCAGCUAUCCUGGAAGAGGUCAGUCCAGUAUGUAUGUCCAUAUCCUUCCUUCUAUUUCCUUUUCAACUGUUGAGUUUGGAAUAGAAGCAAGGUCAGUGUAGCUUUCCCUGCAAUGUUGAGCUUGGGGCUAUGGCAUGGCAAUGUUUCCAACAGGUUUUGCGCCAUCACUCUCUCUGUGGUAAAGCAAAAUGCAAGAGGAGUAAGAGACGAGAUACAAGCGACAUAUUCCAGAAUACAACAGAAUACAGGCCUACACUGUACAUGUGGAGGGAACAGCUUGACAGGCCUACACUGUACAUGUGGAGGGAACAGCUGGACAGGCCUCUUAACUCUACAAGCAAUCUUGAAAAGAGGAUCUGGGAGUUGCAUUUGUUUUGAAUCCGAUUGUUUUGAAUAAGUACAUGAAAUGUAAAUGACAGCUCACCAAAUGCAAAUAAACACAUGCAAAAACCACAUAUGCAGCAAUUAAACACAAAUGCAAUAAUUAAAUAUUGCAGACAAUAAAUAUGUAUCAAUGUAAGUGCAAUUCAAAGUUGUUCAUGUUGAUGUGCAAAGUUACUCACCAUCGAAGCAAAAUAAAUCUUUUUGUUCUGAA